GAAAUAGACCAACGGACCAAUGAAAAUACAGAUCACUUGUCUCUUCUCAUCCUGUCUUGUGCUUCAGUUUUUUUGGUUGGCCUGUUUUUUAUUUUAGUUUUGUUUGGUUUCUUU
rnacentral:ribozyme from 1 species